rnacentral:rRNA from 1 species
AGAGUUUGAUCCUGGCUCAGAUGAACGCUUGCAGCAUACUUUACACAUGCUAGUCGGAUGGUUUAGACCAUGGCGUAUAGGUGAGUAAUACACAAGAAUUUGCCCUAAAAUCUUGGGAUAAUCAUAUUUAAAAGAUUUAUUUCUUUUAAAGAAUGCUUUGCAUUGAUAAUACUGGAUAAUAACAAAGGCAUAAUGCCGUUUUAGGAUAAGCUUGUGCAAGAUUAGGUUGUUGGUAGAGUAAAAGCCUACCAAGCCGAUGAUCUUUAGCUGUUCUGAGAGGAUGAUCAGCCACACUGGGACUGAGAUAAGGCCCAGGCUUUUUAGCCAGCAGUGAGGAAUCUUGGACAAUGAGCGAAAGCUUGAUCCAGUAAUGCUGCGUGAAUGAUGAUAGGCACAAAAGAUUUUUAAUUUAUUAUUAAUCGGCCGUAAAAUUCUUUCACUAGUGAAGAUAAUGACGUUAACUAGAGAAGAAGUCCCGGCUAACUUCGUGCCAGCAGCCGCGGUAAUACGAAGGGGGCGAGCGUUAUCCAGAAUUACUGGGCGUAAAGUGUUCGUAGGCGGUAUUUGUUGUUUUACGUAAAAGACUAGGUUUCAGUGCUUAGAUAUGCGUAUAAUACACUUUUACUUGAGUUUAACAGAGGGUAACAGAAUUCUAUACUAUAGGGGUAAAAUCCAAACAUUUAUAGAGGAAUGCCAGCGGCGAAGGCGGUUAUCUGGGUUAAUAUUUAAUUAUAUAAAACUGACGUUGAGGAACGAAAGCGUGGGGAGCAAACAGGAUUAGAGACCCUGGUAGUCCACGCUGUCAAAGAUGAAUGCUAUUGUUGGGAUGUUAUAUUCUGAUAAACAGUUAACACGUUAAGCAUUCCGCCUGAGAAGUACGAUCGCAAGAUUGGAACUCAAAGGAACUGACGGGGGUCUACACAAGUGGUGGAGCAUGUGGUUUAAUGCGAUAAUACGCGCGAAACCUUACCAGUUCUUGAAUAUUUCUACAUAAAAAUUUUAAUAGGUUUUUUAUUAUAUAGGCUAUGCUAUGCUUUAUAUAGAUUUACAGGUGUUGCACGGCUGUCGUCAGCUCGUGCCGUGAGGUGUUUGGUUAAGUCCUUUAACGAGCGUAACUCUUUUUUUAUAUUGGUACAUUUUUUAAUUCUAAAGAAAUACCACUUAUAUUACACAGCUAAUGAUAUAUUAGAGGAAGGUGAGAAUGACGUCAAGCCCAUAUGGCCCUUAUGAACUGGGCUACACACGUGCUACAAUGGUAUUUACAAAGAGUUUUGCAAUAAAGCAAUUUGGAGCUAAUCUUAAAAAAAUGCCGUGUUCGGAUUGCAGGCUGCAAUUCGCCUGCAUGAAGGUGGAAUCACAAGUAAUCGUAGAUCAGCACGCUACGGUGAACUUUUACUUAGGCCUUGCACACACCGCCCGUCACAUGCCGGGAGUAAAUUUUGUUUGAAAUCGCUUUUAGCUUUAAGCAAUUGAUUUUAUUUUCUAUCAGUUUUAAUUUCAAGGUUUUUAGUUUAGAGUGCUUAUUAUAGAAUUUGUAACCGGGAUGAAGUCGUAACAAGGUAACC